ACAACAACAAUAACAAAUGCUGAACCCCACAAUAAAAACAAGACGUAUCGACUCCAGCACAACAAAAACAAGACAGCGGAGGCGGAGCUAACUGAUUCUUUUGGAGAGGAGUUGCCCUUGGGGCUCGCCCCACAGCCAGGCAGAGAACAACAAAAACUGCUUCCAAAGCAGCGCCCGUACUGGUUGGGUCAUGGAAUGAUCACGGCACCGUCAGCGUCCAAAGCAAUCCGUUUGCUAUUGACCCUCGAAUGGAGGGCACCCCAGAUGGCGUCAAGCCUGCGGGAACGGGUCGAACAACAAGAACAGCAAGCCCGACACAAUAAAAACAAAGCACACACCAAUUUGGGGGGGAGCUUCGGCUCCCCCAGUAGCUUUGACACCUUUCAGACCUUUCCUUCAACAU
rnacentral:sRNA from 1 species